CUCACACAGACACAGAAACAGUGGAGAAGAUCCUGUGUGUCUGACAUGAAGGGAAGUGAGUGAAAAGGGAUAUGUCUCUUUGAGGAUGGACUACGCCUCUGAUGGGUUUUGGAAACUGACUCUGUUCAAUCCCUAAGGUGACCAAAACAACAUCAGGAAUAUUUGCAGCAUUAACCUCCUACCCUUGGACUUCUCUGCAUCCUGGGCUUUGGAGAACCAGAAGUUAGACACAAAUUAACUGAAAAGGUUUGGUGUUGACCCAUAGUGUUUCCAUGUAUGUUUUUGAGUAGAAUUCUCUGUCCUGUCAA
rnacentral:lncRNA from 1 species